UACGAAGGUGGCAAGCGUUACUCGGAAUUACUAGGCGUAAAGCGCAGGUAGGUGGUUGUGUAAGUCUGCUGUGAAAGCUCCCGGCUUAACUGGGAGAGGUCAGCGGAUACUGCAUAGCUAGAGUGUGGGAGAGGGUACUGGAAUUCCCGGUGUAGCGGUGAAAUGCGCAGAGAUCGGGAGGAACACCUAAGGCGAAAGCAGGUACCUGGACCAUUACUGACACUAAGCUGCGAAAGCUAGGGGAGCAAACAGG
rnacentral:rRNA from 1 species